UACGGAGGAUGCGAGCGUUAUCCGGAUUUAUUGGGUUUAAAGGGUGCGUAGGCGGACUGUCAAGUCAGCGGUAAAAUUGAGAGGCUCAACCUCUUCCCGCCGUUGAAACUGGUGGUCUUGAGUGGAUGAGAAGUACGCGGAAUGCGUGGUGUAGCGGUAAAAUGCAUAGAUAUCACGCAGAACUCCGAUUGCGAAGGCAGCGUACCGGCAUCCAACUGACGCUGAGGCACGAAAGCGUGGGGAUCAAACAGG
rnacentral:rRNA from 1 species